GUGUUUGUUGUGUUAUGGUUGUCUUGCUACUGUAUGCCUAAAAUUUCCUUUGGGAUGAAUAAAGUAUCUAUCUAUCUAUCUAUCUAUCUAUCUAUCUAUCUAUCUAUCUAUCUAUCUAUCUAGGGUGCCAUCCCCAAUCCAUGGGUCGGACUGAGAGAGCCAACCAGGACCUAGAAGCAUCCCUUCGUUGUGUGUCUGCUCAGAGUCCGUCCUCCUGGACCAACAUCUGCCGUGGAUAGAGUACGCCCACAACUCCCUGACCUCCUCCGCCACUGGCUUUUCACCUUUCGAGGUCGCCCUGGGAUACCAACCCCCCCCCCUGUGCUUCCUGCUCAGGAGAGGGAACUGGCUGUUCCCUCGGUUCAGGAGAACCUAAAGUAAAGUUUGGAGCGACAUCCAGGAAGCCCUGCUCAACGAAGCCAAACUCACCACCGGAGCCAGAUCGUUGCACCUACCAGUGGGGUUAACUUGGCUUCCAGUUGAACUUUGAGCCAUUUUAGUCUCAGUGUUAUAUUCCUGGUGUGUUUGUUAACGUCCUGUUUUCCCUGUCCAGACCUACACUUCCAGACCUGUUGCCGUGGCUCAUCACGCUCAAGCCUUCCUACCUUCCCGCUUGGAUUCCAGAAAGAAAGUUUGGAUCCAGCACUGCCUGCCCUCCUCGGCCCCUAUCCAGCUCGGAGUCAGCCUACCUUGUGUUUUCUGUCUUUGGCUGCUGGUGCCAUCCUCAAUACAUGGGUUGGACUGAGAGAGCCAACCAGGACCUAGAAGCAUCCCUUCGUUGUGUGUCUGCUCAGCGCCCGUCCUCCUGGACCAACAUCUGCCGUGGAUAGAGUACGCCCACAACUCCCUGACCACCUCCGCCACUGGCUUCUCACCUUUCGAGGUCGCCCUGGGAUACCAACCCCCCCACCGUGUUUCCUGCUCAGGAGAGGGAACUGGCUGUUCCCUCGGUUCAGGAGAACCUAAAGUAAAGUUUGGAGCGACGCCCAGGAAGCCCUGCUCAACGAAGCCAAACUCACCACCGGAGCCAGAUCGUUGCACCUACCAGUGUGACCUACACUUCCAGACCUGUUGUCGUGGCUCAUCACGCUCAAGCCUUCCUACCUUCCCGCUUGGAUUCCAGAAAGAAAGUUUGGAUCCAGCACUGCCUGCCCUCCUCGGCCCCUAUCCAGCUCGGAGUCAGCCUACCUUGUGUUUUCUGUCCUUGGCUGCUGGUGCCAUCCUCAAUACAUGGGUUGGACUGAGAGAGCCAACCAGGACCUAGAAGCAUCCCUUCGUUGUGUGUCUGCUCAGCGCCCGUCCUCCUGGACCAACAUCUGCCGUGGAUAGAGUACGCCCACAACUCCCUGACCACCUCCGCCACUGGCUUCUCACCUUUCGAGGUCGCCCUGGGAUACCAACCCCCCCACCGUGUUUCCUGCUCAGGAGAGGGAACUGGCUGCUCCCUCGGUUCAGGAGAACCUAAAGUAAAGUUUGGAGCGACGCCCAGGAAGCCCUGCUCAACGAAGCCAAACUCACCACCGGAGCCAGAUCGUUGCACCUACCAGUGUGACCUACACUUCCAGACCUGUUGCCGUGGCUCAUCACGCUCAAGCCUUCCUACCUUCCCGCUUGGAUUCCAGAAAGAAAGUUUGGAUCCAGCACUGCCUGCCCUCCUCGGCCCCUAUCCAGCUCGGAGUCAGCCUACCUUGUGUUUUCUGUCCUUGCCUGCUAUAAGUAC